AUUGAACGCUGGCGGCAGGCUUAACACAUGCAAGUCGAACGGUAGCACAAAGGAGCUUGCUCCUUGGGUGACGAGUGGCGGACGGGUGAGUAAUGCUUGGGAAUCUGGCCUAUGGAGGGGGAUAACUACGGGAAACUGUAGCUAAUACCGCGUAAAAUCUUYGGAUUAAAGUGUGGGACCUUCGGGCCACAUGCCAURGGAUGAGCCCAAGUGGGAUUAGGUAGUUGGUGGGGUAAAGGCCUACCAAGCCGACGAUCUCUAGCUGGUCUGAGAGGAUGACCAGCCACACUGGAACUGAGACACGGUCCAGACUCCUACGGGAGGCAGCAGUGGGGAAUAUUGCACAAUGGGGGGAACCCUGAUGCAGCCAUGCCGCGUGAAUGAAGAAGGCCUUCGGGUUGUAAAGUUCUUUCGGUGGUGAGGAAGGUGGUUGUUUUAAUAGAACAAUCAAUUGACGUUAACUACAGAAGAAGCACCGGCUAACUCCGU
rnacentral:rRNA from 1 species